CUACGAAGGGGGCUAGCGUUGUUCGGAUUUACUGGGCGUAAAGAGUUCGUAGGCGGACUGAUAAGUAAGAGGUGAAAUCCCAGGGCUCAACCCUGGAACUGCCUUUUAAACUGUCAGUCUAGAGACCGGAAGAGGUUAGGGGAAUACCUAGUGUAGAGGUGAAAUUCGUAGAUAUUAGGUGGAACACCAGUGGCGAAGGCGCCUAACUGGUCCGGUACUGACGCUGAGGAACGAAAGCGUGGGGAGCAAACAGGAUUAGAAACCCUAGUAGUCC
rnacentral:rRNA from 1 species